GAUGAACGCUGACAGAAUGCUUAACACAUGCAAGUCUACUUGAAUUUGGGUCUUUGACUUAGAUUUGGGUGGCGGACGGGUGAGUAACGCGUAAAGAACUUGCCUCACAGUUAGGGACAACAUUUGGAAACGAAUGCUAAUACCUGAUAUUAUGAUUAUACGGCAUCGUAUAAUUAUGAAAGCUAUAUGCGCUGUGAGAGAGCUUUGCGUCCCAUUAGCUAGUUGGAGAGGUAACGGCUCACCAAGGCGAUGAUGGGUAGCCGGCCUGAGAGGGUGAACGGCCACAAGGGGACUGAGACACGGGCCUUACUCCUACGGGAGGCAGCAGUGGGGAAUAUUGGACAAUGGACCAAAAGUCUGAUCCAGCAGUUCUGUGUGCACGAUGACGUUUUUCGGAAUGUAAAGUGCUUUCAGUUGGGAAGAAAAAAAUGACGGUACCAACAGAAGAAGUG
rnacentral:rRNA from 1 species